rnacentral:tRNA from 1 species
UGUUUGAUGGCCGAGAGAUUAGGCAAUAGACUGUAGAUCUAUUUACGGAAUUAAAUUUCCUCAACAA